GAUGAAGAACGCAGCGAAAUGCGAUAAGUAAUGUGAAUUGCAGAAUCCAGUGAAUCAUCGAAUCUUUGAACGCACAUUGCGCCCGCCAGCAUUCUGGCGGGCAUGCCUGUUCGAGCGUCAUUUCAACCCUCGACCUCCCUUUGGGGAAGUCGGCGUUGGGGACCGGCAGUACACCGCCGGCCCUGAAAUGGAGUGGCGGCCCGUCCGCGGCGACCUCUGCGUAGUAAACCAACUCGCACCGGAACCCCGACGUGGCCACGCCGUAAAACACCCAACUUCUGAACGUUGACCUCGAAUCAGGUAGGACUACCCGCUGAACUUAAGCAUAUCAAUAAGCGGAGGA
rnacentral:misc_RNA from 1 species